AUUGAACGCUGGCGGCAUGCCUUACACAUGCCAGUCGAACGGCAGCACGGGUGCUUGCACCUGGUGGCGAGUGGCGAACGGGUGAGUAAUACAUCGGAACAUGUCCUGUAGUGGGGGAUAGCCCGGCGAAAGCCGGAUUAAUACCGCAUACGAUCUACGGAUGAAAGCGGGGGACCUUCGGGCCUCGCGCUAUAGGGUUGGCCGAUGGCUGAUUAGCUAGUUGGUGGGGUAAAGGCCUACCAAGGCGACGAUCAGUAGCUGGUCUGAGGGGACGACCAGCCACACUGGGACUGAGACACGGCCCAGACUCCUACGGGAGGCAGCAGUGGGGAAUUUUGGACAAUGGGCGAAAGCCUGAUCCAGCAAUGCCGCGUGUGUGAAGAAGGCCUUCGGGUUGUAAAGCACUUUUGUCCGGAAAGAAAUCCUUGGCCCUAAUACGGUCGGGGGAUGACGGUACCGGAAGAAUAAGCACCGGCUAACUACGUG
rnacentral:rRNA from 1 species